UUGCCCUAAUCAAUCCUGAUUUUCCCUCCUAAGCCGUCAUUAAUUGCAAGGCUUAUCUGCCAACCACCCACUUCCUCUUGGGCGCAUUUAUUGUGACCUUUCAUGUACAUCAUUCAACCAAUCAAAUCCUUUGCUUUCCCACUUCUCCCUCACAGCCCAAUAAAUGUACAAUGACCAAUUAACUUACUGCUAAAAACGUGCCCCUUUUAUUGGUAACCGGGUGAUGGAGCAGAUCAAGGAAUAAACUGUUGAGAACAUCAGAAGUCCUCAAACAGAAUGAACGGCGUAAGUUUUAAUAUAGUCACAACAAUUUCUUUCUCCCUCAUAGAACUUCUCUUCUCUUCAUCAUCUCCUCUCCCAGUUUUUUUUUUUUUUUUAUCUCUUUUCAUCUUCAUCUCCCUCAUAGAACAAUAGUUUACUCACACUCAUAGCCACCACUUCCAGCCACCACAUGAGGAUGAACCAUCCUGCUUAUAUGUAGCUCUUAAGGCUUAAGUGGCGUACCUAUCAUGUCGAGUACAGUCGAGAUGAGGUUUGUGCGAUAAGAACUGCAUCUUUUUGUGUUUUGUUUGACACAAGAUGUGUUUUCUGUUGAUUCUAUAAUAUUCAGAUUUUAUGUCGAACAUGUUAUAUGUGAUGUUGUGCAAGGUUUGUAAAAGCAACAAGAUUAUCAAUUGAAAUGAUAGGAUUUUUGCUAGAGGAUAAUAGUUGUAAAACAAAAUUGACAAUUGCUAUUUGAGUUAGUAUCUUAAUUCAUAUUCGAGUAUAGAAUUAGUUUUAUCAACAUUCAAAUCAGUUUUAGAAAAAAAAUAUUGCAACUCAUGCCUCUAUAUGUACCUUAAUGACGUUUCUGUUUAAAAAAUUAAACAAGUUUUGUUUGUAUUCAACUUAAAAAAUAUGGGGUUGUUGUUUUCUGAACUGCCAUUUUUAUAUGGAGGAGUGCUAGCAACACUCUCUAGAACACUCCCUCUAAUACUCACUCUCUUAUUGGUUUAAAUCAUUGUGGGUCUACACAUUGGAAAUAGAACCCACACAAAGUGGUGGGACAUACAUUUUUUUCAUUCAAUAGAAAAGUGAGUGUUAGAGAGAGUGUUCAAAAGUGAGUUUUGUUAACAUUCCUCUUUUAUAUUAACAUAAAUAUAUGCCCAUUUUGUUCCAUUUGUAUGCAUAUAAGAUCUAUUUUUUGGCAGUUGUUACAAUGAUACGUGUAAUUAAUUUCAUUAUCAGACUAGCACAUUUGUACUGCUCAAUGCACUUAGCCAAAAAAUACAUAGAGCCACCAUGAAUGAGCAUAAACCAACUGAUGUAAACCUUAACUGAUGGUUCCAUAGCACAUCAGAAUUGCAACUACUAAUUUGAAUUCUUUGUUUGAUUGUAUUCUUUGCAACUACUAUAGUUAUUUGUGUUAACUAUAGUUUAUUCAAAUCAGUUUGUUCUAACCAUUUAUAUCAUUCAAAGUUUGUUCUAACUAUUGAAGGAGUUGAUUCCGAUAACAAGGACAAAGUUGGUGUAGCCGAUUCAGAUGUAACACCGAUUAGCAAGUCUUUGGAUGACAUUGAUGUAGGUGGGUGUGAAGCAUCGAGCACAAAAGAACCAAAAUUGGUGUCUGCUUCAAAGGUAGAUGCAGUUGCUCCAGUUGUGACUUCGAACACUCCAAACUCCUUGGGAAAGAGAGCAGCUGAGAAUGUGGUUUCAGUUGUUGAUGUCGCUGAAUUUGAUGGAUCCACACCAAAAGAGCCAAAACUGGUUCGGUGUGAAGAUCGAAGCUGAGGAGUGAAGUCUUUUGCAAAAUUUUCAACUACCAGUAGUGUUACUGAUGUCCAAGUCUGUUGUCCUUUCAUUCUGUUUUGUUUUGGUUUUUAAUUGUCGCGUUGAAAUCUUCGGUUGCAUUUUGUUGCCAUACUUAUUUCGUUUUUAUGUUUGACAUUCUGUAAUGUUUUUUUGGUUUGCGUCAAUGGCUUUUUUACUUUAACUGAAGACUUGAAUUAUCUAACGUGUUCUGAAAGUAGUAUGAUCUAUAAGCACUUUGUUUCAUGCGCUUAAA